rnacentral:rRNA from 1 species
CGAACGAUGAACUCCAGCUUGCUGGGGGGAUUAGUGGCGAACGGGUGAGUAACACGUGAGUAACCUGCCCUUGACUCUGGGAUAAGCGCUGGAAACGGCGUCUAAUACCGGAUACGAGCUUCAGCCGCAUGGCUAGGAGUUGGAAAGAAUUUUGGUCAAGGAUGGACUCGCGGCCUAUCAGCUAGUUGGUGAGGUAAUGGCUCACCAAGGCGACGACGGGUAGCCGGCCUGAGAGGGUGACCGGCCACACUGGGACUGAGACACGGCCCAGACUCCUACGGGAGGCAGCAGUGGGGAAUAUUGCACAAUGGGCGAAAGCCUGAUGCAGCAACGCCGCGUGAGGGACGACGGCCUUCGGGUUGUAAACCUCUUUUAGUAGGGAAGAAGCGAAAGUGACGGUACCUGCAGAAAAAGCACCGGCUAACUACGUGCCAGCAGCCGCGGUAAUACGUAGGGUGCAAGCGUUGUCCGGAAUUAUUGGGCGUAAAGAGCUCGUAGGCGGUUUGUCGCGUCUGCUGUGAAAUCUGGGGGCUCAACCCCCAGCCUGCAGUGGGUACGGGCAGACUAGAGUGCGGUAGGGGAGAUUGGAAUUCCUGGUGUAGCGGUGGAAUGCGCAGAUAUCAGGAGGAACACCGAUGGCGAAGGCAGAUCUCUGGGCCGUAACUGACGCUGAGGAGCGAAAGCAUGGGGAGCGAACAGGAUUAGAUACCCUGGUAGUCCAUGCCGUAAACGUUGGGAACUAGAUGUGGGGACCAUUCCACGGUCUCCGUGUCGCAGCUAACGCAUUAAGUUCCCCGCCUGGGGAGUACGGCCGCAAGGCUAAAACUCAAAGGAAUUGACGGGGGCCCGCACAAGCGGCGGAGCAUGCGGAUUAAUUCGAUGCAACGCGAAGAACCUUACCAAGGCUUGACAUAUACCGGAAACGGCCAGAGAUGGUCGCCCCGCAAGGUCGGUAUACAGGUGGUGCAUGGUUGUCGUCAGCUCGUGUCGUGAGAUGUUGGGUUAAGUCCCGCAACGAGCCCAACCCUCGUUCUAUGUUGCCAGCAC